GUUGACCUCGGAUCAGGUAGGACUACCCGCUGAACUU
rnacentral:rRNA from 1 species